rnacentral:lncRNA from 1 species
GGGUGGGGCCUCCGCCUCCAUCUUGGCGGAGCGGCGGGUUUGGGGUCCCGGCCCGGAGCGGGCGGGCCCGGACUGGACUGGGGGUCCCGUCUGGAUUGGGGGUCCUGGUCUGGAUUGGGGGUCCCGGGCUGGACUGGGGGUCCCGGGCUGGACUGGGGUCCCGGACUGGACUGGGGGUCCUGGUCUGGAUUGGGGGUCCCGGACUGGACUGGGGGUCCCGGACUGGACUGGGGGUCCUGGUCUGGAUUGGGGGUCCCGGCUCGGAUCAGGGGGUCCCGGCUAGAUUGGGGGGUCCCGGCUGAACUGGGGGUCCCGGCUCGGAUUUGGGGUCCUGGCCUGGAUUGGGGCGGACCCCGCGGGUGCAGCCCUUGGAGGGGAGUGCAGGAUUUUGGGGUCCCCCUUUGUAAGAUUUUGGGGUCCCCCUUUGUAGGAUUUUGGGGUCCCCCUUUGUAGGAUUUUGGGGUCCCCCUUUGUAGGAUUUUGGGGUCCCCUUGGGUGCAGCCCUUGGAGGGGAGUGCAGGAUUUUGGGGUCCCCCUUUGUAGGAUUUUGGGGUCCCCUUGAGUGCAGCCCCUGGAGGGGAGUGCAGGAUUUUGGG